rnacentral:rRNA from 1 species
CAUAGCGACUAUCGUGGCAUAUCAAUAAGCGGAGGAAAAGAAACUAACAAGGAUUCCCUUAGUAACGGCGAGUGAAGCGGGAAGAGCUCAAAUUUGAAAUCUUCAAGGUUCUACCUUGACGAAUUGUAGUUUAUAGAAGUGUUUUCUGUUAGUAGAGUGGCAAAAGUUCUUUGGAAUAGGACAUCAUAGAGGGUGAGAAUCCCGUAUUUGGUCAUUCCUUCCUAGCGUUGUGAUACACUUUCAACGAGUCGGAUUGUUUGGGAAUGCAGUCCAAAAUGGGUGGUAAAUUUCAUCUAAAGCUAAAUAUUGGCGAGAGACCGAUAGCGAACAAGUACCGUGAGGGAAAGAUGAAAAGAACUUUGAAAAGAGAGUUAAACAGUACGUGAAAUUGUCAAAAGGGAAGCGUUUGACACCAGUGUUGUUUUUCCGAAAAUCAAUUACUGAAUGUUUUAUUUUUGAAGAGUUAUGACUUCAUCGGCUUGCUUCCUUUCUUUAUCGAAACUUUCUUAAUGCACUUUUCGGUUAACAAGUCAACAUCAAUUUCUUUUGUUGUAAAAGGGUACUGAGGAAGGUGGCUUUCUUUUCGGAGAAAGUGUUUAUAGCCUUGUAGCCUCUGCAAUCGGAGAGAUUGAGGUCUGCAACGUAGAUCCUUCGGGGUUAGAUACGUUUGUGCUAAGUUAUAGCUUUUCAUAGACAACUUGUUGACUAUGUUAGUCUUGUAGCUUACUCGCUGAUGCUAUUUUACCUACGCUUAGGAUGUUGAUAGUCACAGCGUGUAC